AUGAAGAUAACACACUUAUCCAGAGAAAAGGACACAUGCUCUGGACACCAAGCAAGCCAGGACCACCACUCAAAUCAUGGGUGCAUGAUGCCCGUGAUGGUACUCCAGAUGAUCUGAAGAUGUUGGAGCUGUUUUAUCAUCAGACUCUUUGAGGGCCCAGAGGCAGGUGAGCUGUUCAGAAUUAUAGGUCUUCUCCAGCUGUGAGUGAUUUCAGAAGACCACAGGACUAGAUGUGAGAAGGGCAAAAAAAUUAAAUGGCAGUAAUAAAAAUGCAUGAGGCUGAACUGUGUUUUGAGAA
ensembl:lncRNA